UACGGAGGGUGCAAGCGUUGUUCGGAAUCACUGGGCGUAAAGCGCGUGUAGGCGGCCAUUUAAGUCUGGUGUGAAAGCCCUGGGCUCAACCCAGGAAGUGCACUGGAUACUGGAUGGCUGGAGUACCGGAGAGGAGGGUGGAAUUCCUGGUGUAGCGGUGAAAUGCGUAGAUAUCAGGAGGAACACCAGUGGCGAAGGCGGCGAUCUGGGAAGAUAUUGACGCUGAGGUGCGAAAGCGUGGGGAGCAAACAGG
rnacentral:rRNA from 1 species